CAAAGGGCAAUGGAAGGAAAUUUGCUGGACUUUGAACCUCUCUACUGACGCAUGAAAGAGGAGGAUGACUUCCAUAGACCCGCUGAAGAUCAAAGUGUUGAAUAUGCAGGAGACACUCCGCAAACAUUUGCAAGGGCGAAGAAGAAAUGGCAAGGGACAGAAACCUAGAAUAAGUAACGCUGUCUGUGCUGGGUAUGAAACCCAGAGCCUCACACAUGCUGAGCAAGCACUCUACCAUUGAACUACAUCUCACCUCCAACGCUAACAUAGCUACUUUGUCCAGUGACUUCUCUGGAUAUAGCGACAGAGACCACCCAACUUAGAAAAUAAGCCCAAGAUGGCUCCCCGCCCCCCCCCCGAAGGAUGGGAUAUACAUAAAACAGAACCAUUGUGUAAGAGGCUUGGAGCUCCAGCAGCAAGAAGAAAUCUGUUUUCAGGCCACUGGACUAAACUUCAAAGGAAAAGAUGGCCACCCUUGGAAAUACCAAGAGGAGGAUGAUAUCAUUGGGGUAACAGCUUGAGAACUUUAGCCACAACCCAAGCAUCAUGUGAUCUGCUUGCUCGUACUGACUUUAGAUUGUGGGGGUUUGACGACCCAGGAGAAAUCCCUUAAGGGAAAAAAUAGCCAGCAGAGCAUUUCUUAAUCUCCCGAACAAACUGAUGCUUCCCUUUCUCAGAGCUGGGAACGUAGGCU